UCAGCACCUUGCUAGGUGAGGCUCCUACGUGAAUACAGGCCACUGAUCUGACGACGUCGAGAGACGCCCAAGGUUAGGACAGGUCUUCCCGGACUAAGGGAUGACCCGAAGUGGCUUCCGCUGACGGACACGUCACGUAGUGCCGAAGCCCUGACGAGAGGGGUGCGUG
rfam:Mycobacterium abscessus strain PAP053 genome assembly, contig: ERS075544SCcontig000002